rnacentral:rRNA from 1 species
UACGGGAGGCAGCAGUGGGGAAUAUUGGACAAUGGGCGAAAGCCUGAUCCAGCCAUGCCGCGUGUGUGAAGAAGGUCUUCGGAUUGUAAAGCACUUUAAGUUGGGAGGAAGGGCAAGUCAGCGAAUACCUUGCUGUCUUGACGUUACCGACAGAAUAAGCACCGGCUAACUCUGUGCCAGCAGCCGCGGUAAUACAGAGGGUGCAAGCGUUAAUCGGAAUUACUGGGCGUAAAGCGCGCGUAGGUGGUUUGUUAAGUUGAAUGUGAAAUCCCUGGGCUCAACCUGGGAACUGCAUCCAAAACUGGCAAGCUAGAGUAGGGCAGAGGGUGGUGGAAUUUUCCUGUGUAGCGGUGAAAUGCGUAGAUAUAGGAAGGGAACACCAGUGGCGAAAGGCGACCACCUGGGGCUCAUACUGACACUGAGGUGCGAAAGCGUGGGGAGCAAACGGGAUAGAAUACC